rnacentral:rRNA from 1 species
GAUGAACGCUGGCGGCACGCCUAACACAUGCAAGUCGAGCGAGAUCUUCGGAUCUAGCGGCGGACGGGUGAGUAACGCGUGGGAAUAUGCCCUUCUCUACGGAAUAGCCUCGGGAAACUGGGAGUAAUACCGUAUACGCCCUUAGGGGGAAAGAUUUAUCGGAGAAGGAUUAGCCCGCGUUGGAUUAGGUAGUUGGUGGGGUAAUGGCCCACCAAGCCUAUGAUCCAUAGCUGGUUUGAGAGGAUGAUCAGCCACACUGGGACUGAGACACGGCCCAGACUCCUACGGGAGGCAGCAGUGGGGAAUCUUAGACAAUGGGGGCAACCCUGAUCUAGCCAUGCCGCGUGAGUGAUGAAGGCCUUAGGGUUGUAAAGCUCUUUCAGCUGGGAAGAUAAUGACGGUACCAGCAGAAGAAGCCCCGGCUAACUCCGUGCCAGCCGCCGCGGUAA